AGGGCCGCAGUUGCUUCGGCUAGCCUGAGAGUCUCAGAGGAAAAACGGGCUCCCGAAGUGCAUCCCCCGGCCGCUCACCCGACCCUGCAAUUGUGGGGGGAAGAGAAUAGAGGAGAGAAGAAGGGUGCAUUUUCCAUCUCACCUCAGUCCUCGCCUAGGAAAACCACGUAGCCCUGACCAGUGGGCUCAAGGCCCUGCUGGAAACUGGUUCUGAGUGUACAUGUCUCAGCUUGAGAUGAGAAAUUGAGAACAAGUAACAAGCAUAUUUUUUCAAUUGAUGAGCGAAUUGUGGAGUCUUGGUCCCUCGACCAGAAGUCUGGCCUGAGGCUCUGGGGUGGGAGCACUGACUCCAGGAUGCUGGAACACUAGAGAAUUCCUGGCCCCAGGGAAGAUUAAUCGCUGAGAAGUCUCAUGGGGGCCUCUAUCUGAAUCCCAGUCCUGGCCCCACCCAACUGCCAGCAGCUCCCAGUGCUGGACACCUCACAGCAAACAACAAAUAAGACAGGAACACAAACCAAUCCAUCAACACACACACUACCUAAAGUCAUACUAAGCUCAAAGACACGCCAAAACACACCACCUGACAUGGCCCUGCUCAUCAGAGGGAAAAGACUCAGCUCCACGCACCAGAACACAGGCAACAGUCCCUCCCAUCAGGAAGCCUACGGAAGGCACUGUACCAAUCUCACCACUGGGGGCAGAGAACAGAAGAGGAACCAUGAUGCUGCAGCCUGGGGAGAGGAAACCUCAAAUAAGGUAAAUUAGACAAAAUGAGAAGACAGAGAAAUAUCUUACAGGCAAGGAGCAAGAUAAAAACCCACAAGACCAAAUAAAUGAAGAGGAAAUAGGCAAACUACCUGAAAAAGAAUUCUGAGUAAUGAAAGUAAAGAUGAUCAAAAUCUUGGAAAUAGAGAAAAUACAAGAAACGUUUAACAAGGACCUAGAAGAACUAAACAGCAAACAGACAGUAAUGAACUACACAAUAACUGAAAUUAAAAAUACUCUAGAGGGAAUCAAUAGCAGAAUAACUGAGGCAGAAGAAUGGAUAAGUGAGCUGGAAGAUACAAUGGUGGAAAUAACUGUCACAGAGCAGAAUAAAGAAAAAAGAAGGAAAAGAAUGGAGGACAGUCUGAGACUUCUGGGACAACAGUAAGCACACCAGCAUUCGAAUUACAGGCAUCCCAGAAGAAGAAGAAAAAAGAAAAGGUCUGAGAAAAUAUUGGAAGAGAUUAUAGUC